AACUCUUAUAUACCAGUAUGUACCAAUAAAUAUGCAUUUUACACAUGGCUGCCCCUCUUGGUUUGUCAAUUUAAGUUUCUUUUUUUUAGCCAAAAAGGUAUUCCAUGACUUUGAUAUCGUUCAAGUGCUUCUUCCCUGUUUAACAUAUUCUUAAUCUUGGGAUUUUACAUAAAUGUGCGAUAAUGUUGGACAGCCUGGGAUGCCAAGACAGCCACCUAACUCACAGCCAAAUCCAUUUGGGAGUUCCUACUUUGCAGGAUUGUCUUUUGCUUGUCAGCUUUUGUAUCUACUAGAUGCUACUGGGUUCUAUUCUUUAGGAUUACACGUUCUUGGGAUUCAUGUUUGUCGAGCUACAGGGCAGGAGCUGGUACUUAUUCUAGAGGCCCUUCAAAAUGGAGUCUCUUGAUGAAUCUACCUCUUCCUCCAUCAGCCAUGGUAUUCAUGUCUUCCAUUGCCCAGUGAGUAACGGAUGAGUUGGGAAUAGUUGCAAAGCUAUCAGAAUGUAUUGCUUCAAUAGGUGGAAACAUUCUCAAUGCUGAUGUUUUUGUGCCCGAGGACAAGAAUGUGUUUUACUCUAGAAGGUCUAUUGCACUGCCUUGCACUUUGUUUCUUGGUACAUUUUUCUAUGGCAAGUUAAUAAGUUGGUUUUGUCCUUUCUUCUUAUUCUUUUCCGGAUUAUCUGGCUUAUGUUUGAGGUACUGUGAAGUAGAUUUAGGCCAGAUGUUAAGAGUUAUGGUCCCUUUUGUGAUUUAUUCUUCAAUGGCAGAUAUGGUUAUUCUUCAAUGGCAGAUAUCGUAAUGAUUGCUGUUGGUGUUCAUCUAAAUGAUUUUGGGUUUACAAUCAUAAGAUUGAAACCUGGCAUUCACAAUUUGCAGACAUUUGAUGCUGGCGUCAAAUUAAUUGGUGCCAAGUCACUUUGUUACUAAAGAACUUGACUUGGCUAGGUUCAAGACUUGACAAGGUUUAUGGGUGCACAAUUGCAGGUUGAAGAUUACAUCUGCAAGUUAGCACAGAGGGGAACGACAACACUCAGAAUGGUGUUUCGUGUGACU